rnacentral:rRNA from 1 species
UACGAAGGGGGCUAGCGUUGCUCGGAAUCACUGGGCGUAAAGCGCACGUAGGCGGGUCGUUAAGUCGGGGGUGAAAUCCUGGAGCUCAACUCCAGAACUGCCUUUGAUACUGAAGAUCUCGAGUCCGGGAGAGGUGAGUGGAACUGCGAGUGUAGAGGUGAAAUUCGUAGAUAUUCGCAAGAACACCAGUGGCGAAGGCGGCUCACUGGCCCGGUACUAACGCUGAGGCACGAAAGCGUGGGGAGCAAACAGG